rnacentral:rRNA from 1 species
GAUGUAGGGGGCCAGCGUUGCUCGGAAUUACUGGGUGUAAAGGGUUCGUAGGCGGUGUGGCAAGUCGGGAGUGAAAUCUCUGGGCUCAACCCAGAGUCUGCUUCCGAAACUGCUGUGCUUGAGUGUGGGAGAGGCGCGUGGAAUUGCAGGUGUAGCGGUGAAAUGCGUAGAUAUCUGCAGGAACACCCGUGGCGAAAGCGGCGCGCUGGACCACUACUGACGCUGAGGAACGAAAGCUAGGGGAGCAAACAGG